AGAUUAUGACGGUACCCAUAGAAGAAGCCCCGGCUAACUUCGUGCCAGCAGCCGCGGUAAUACGAGGGGGGCAAGCGUUGUUCGGAAUUAUUGGGCGUAAAGGGUGCGUAGGCGGUUUGGUAAGUCUUGUGUGAAAUCUUCGGGCUCAACUCGAAGUCUGCAUGAGAAACUGCCGGGCUUGAGUGUGGGAGAGGUGAGUGGAAUUUCCGGUGUAGCGGUGAAAUGCGUAGAUAUCGGGAGGAACACCUGUGGCGAAAGCGGCUCACUGGACCACAACUGACGCUGAGGCACGAAAGCUAGGGGAGCAAACAGGAUUAGAUACCCUGGUAGUCCUAGCCCUAAACGAUGAUCGCUUGGUGUGACGGGUACCCAAUCCCGCCGUGCCGAAGCUAACGCGUUAAGCGA
rnacentral:rRNA from 1 species